GGGGAUUUAGCUCAGUGGUAGAGCGCUUGCAUAGCAAGCACAAGGUCCUGGGUUCGGUCCCCAGCUCCA
rnacentral:tRNA from 1 species